CUGCGAGGAGAGACCCAAAUAAUCAACACCAUCUCCGUUCUCAGCCAAAGCUUUUUCCAAAGCAGCCUUUGCAACUCUGGUAACACAGUACGCCAGAACCACUGCAUGUAAAUCAAUGUCAGAAAAGCCUUCCCGAAAAAGCUGCUUGCCGGAAACAGAACAAGAAAAUAAAACCCAGAAAAAAAGAUACAAGUUUCUGCAGAUAAUAUUAACUCACCAGAUACCACAAGGCCCAAUAUUAUGAAUGCCUGCAUCCACAGCAAAGGAAAUAAAUUGCGUCAAACAAGAAAGAACAAAGGUGUAUAUAUCAUAUAGUGUAGAAUUCGGAAGCUCUUCAAAAAACCAGUGGUAUUCUAUAGCAUAUGUUUGAUAUACGAGAACGCUCAUAUUUCGUGAAAAUAGUGUGGUACAUUUUAACUGUCCGAGCGAGAAACAUGCCAUCAGGAUCUUGAUUUUCUUUUUCCUCUUCUGUUUUUCCUUUUUUCUUUUCUAAAUGAAAAGGCAAUUUCAUAAACAAAUUAAAUAGGGGAGCAAAAACUCCACAUUAUUGGGGAAGCCAUCAAGAUCUUGAUACUCAACAGCCAUAAAAGAGAGAUGUUGCGCUCCCUUCCCAAAGUAGAAGUUAAAGAACAUCUCAAUCAAGGAGUUCCUCCUCUGUCCGCUUCUUAGUAGAAAAAGGCCAUUGUUUUAUGGUACGUUGGGGUGUGCGCUUUGUUAUGGGACAUUGGGAACGGAUAAAUAACAAAGUUUCUAGAGGUGUGGAGAGGAACCCUAGUGAUAUUUGUUCCUGGAUGAGAUUUCAUAUUUCUCUUUAGAUUUUAACUUUGAAAAACUUUCGUAAUUACUCUUUGAACAGCAUUUUACUUGAGUUUCUAUAGAGGGUUUUUGUGCGGUUAGAUUUUUGUACAGGGUAUUCUCUUUUUUCCCCCUUGAUAAAAGAAUUGUUUUAUAUGUACACAUACAGUAGAAGUUAAUGAGUA